rnacentral:rRNA from 1 species
UACAUGCAGAAGAAGUACCGGCUAACUACGGGCCAGCAGCCGCGGUAGUACGUAGGGUACGAGCGUUGUCCGGAAUUAUGGGGCGUAAAGAGCUCGUAGAUGGUUGGUCACGUCUGCUGUGGAAACGCAACGCUUAACGUUGCGCGUGCAGUGGGUACGGGCUGACUAGAGUGCAGUAGGGGAGUCUGGAAUUCCUGGUGUAGCGGUGAAAUGCGCAGAUAUCAGGAGGAACACCGGUGGCGAAGGCGGGACUCUGGGCUGUAACUGACACUGAGGAGCGAAAGCAUGGGGAGCGAACAGGAUUAGAUACCCUGGUAGUCCAUGCCGUAAACGUUGGGCACUAGGUGUGGGGGGCAUUCCACGUUCUCCGCGCCGUAGCUAACGCAUUAAGUGCCCCGCCUGGGGAGUACGGUCGCAAGGCUAAAACUCAAAGGAAUUGACGGGGGCCCGCACAAGCGGCGGAGCAUGCGGAUUAAUUCGAUGCAACGCGAAGAACCUUACCAAGGCUUGACAUACACCGGACCGUCCUGGAAACAGGUCCUCUUCUUUGAAGCUGGUGUACAGGUGGUGCAUGGUUGUCGUCAGCUCGUGUCGUGAGAUGUUGGGUUAAGUCCCGCAACGAGCGCAACCCUCGUUCUAUGUUGCCAGCACGUGAUGGUGGGAACUCAUAGGAGACUGCCGGGGUCAACUCGGAGGAAGGUGGGGAUGACGUCAAAUCAUCAUGCCCUUUAUGUCUUGGGCUUCACGCAUGCUACAAUGGCUGGUACAGAGAGAGGCGAACCCGUGAGGGCAAGCGAAUCCCUUAAAGCCAGUCUCAGUUCGGAUCGUAGUCUGCAAUUCGACUACGUGAAGUCGGAGUCGCUAGUAAUCGCAGAUCAGCAACGCUGCGGUGAAUACGUUCCCGGGCCUUGUACACACCGCCCGUCAAGUCACGAAAGUCGGUAACACCCGAAGCCGGUGGCCUAACCGUAAGGAG